CACAGCCAACCCACUCUCUUUUUCAUUCCAUUAGUUCUGAGCAAGCAGCCCAAGAGGGUUCCACGGCUUUCUCCUGGUCUGUAAAGGCAGGGGUUGUCUGUAGACAGUAGUAACUAGUUCCUGAAGUCAGCUCACCUACAACUGGGUUCUACCGACGUGAGGCAAUCAUGACAGAAGGUGGGGGGACAAAAUCCAGGUGUUUCUCUCCUUCCCCCACCUUGCCCAAUCUCCCCACUGUGAAUCCAUCUUCUGGGUGACAGAUGCUCAUGGACUCCAAAAACACCAGCUGCCUCCCGCAUCCUUCAGAGAAAGCGUGGGACUACUGGUCCUGCAAUCCCCAGGCUGCCUCAUUGCCCAGCUUCCGGCUUCACAGCACUGCUGUGAAUUGCUGAUUCCCAGGAUCUCGUGCUUUCGGUGAAUCCUGAAUGAAAUGACCACCCUGACAGUCACACUGUCGCUACCUGCUUCUCCAACAGCCUAGCACCAUCUAUCACUGGAGUCACGAGGCCCCUGAGCUUUGGACGGGCGGGGCACCGGCUUACUCCUCCACUCCCUGACUCGCUUCCAAAAGAGGCAUCUUAAGCUUACAGCUAACACUUUCCAGGUGUCCAAAAACUGUCCUGUCAAAUAAACAGGCAUUUCAGCAUCUAUAAAACCUAAGCAGGAAGGCCACGAGACAAGAACACUUUUACAAGCACGUCUAAGGAACAGCGGGUUUAAGAAAUGUUUAUCUAUUAAGGAUUCACUCCCUAAAAAUUAAAGCAACUGUCAGACCGACAGGUGAGCACCUGAAUUCAUUUUAGAAGUAUGAACAGAACCGUUUGCUCUGUUCUUAGCAUCUAUGAGGACUUCCACAGGCCCCCAGUGGCAGGCAGUCACAGAAACCUAAGAGUGGAUAAGUACAAAAGCUCCAAAGCCAGGCUGCCAAACCCUGGCGCCACCAAAACCAGCCUUGGCCAAGGAACACCUCCACAUUAGUUCUUCAGUUUCCAAAGCUGCAGCAACAGUGUCCCCCAGUUUUGCUUCAAGGCCCGGUCCAAAGAGAACACACUGGUUGCCUUCAUUUUUUUCUCUGUAUCCUACAUCAAGGGUCUCAGACUCAAAGACCAUCAGAGUCCCAGCGCAGGUGUCUCCCCAUUAUCCUCCAUCUCCCUUAAAGAACAAAUAAAACCAAAAAGAGGACUUAUUGACAGAGCCAAUCUACCAGAAGCUGAGUGGUGGUGCUAAUAAAACCGGAAGCAUGAACCAAAGGUCCUGGAAGCCACAGAGGACUUGGAGGCCUGGGGACAGAGCACCUUGUACUCACAGGAAGCAGUCACUGCUGGCUGACAUGAAAACCACUUUCCUUUUCCUAUCACCCAGCAGGUACCAGUGACUCAGCGCCCCAGAGCUCAAGGUCAAGUACGAACGAAGCGAGGGAAUGGGGUGACUAGUGCUCAUCUCCCCUCAAUUCAGUGGGAGGGCAUUCAGAGGAGACUGAUGAAGACAGAAAAAGGUCCUUUAGUCCCUGCUGCAGCCCGGCAUCCCCAGUGACUACAGAGCAGGAGGUAAAGGCAUCCUUGCUGGCUUUGUAGCUGGUGAGAGCCGAGCUCUUGAAUCGGAAAAGGUGUGCGUCUUGCCCUAACCACCAUCCCCAAAGCUCAAGCGUUGUGUCCUUGUGAGAGGCACAACCCUCAACCUUCCUACGUUCCCAGGACACUAACCCGGCAGCUAGGGAGGAGAUUGAGACAACAGAGAGAAAGAGGGCAGGUGACAGCCCAUCUACCAGACCUGCCCCCGGCUCCCUCCCGCUCCUGGGCUAACUCUCCAUGUCUGCGUUCUGCAAGUUAUUCUCUGGGACUCAAGCCCCAUCCAUGUUACCACCAUGGCAAAGAUUUAUGUUCUGGCUUCUCUUCUCCAAACCAGCUGCUAAGCACACGUCGCACUAGGGUGUUGCCCGCCAAAGUUCACCUUCUGGAAGCCUAGAGCAGGGACAAAGGCCACACAUCAGACAAGCUGACCAGGACAGUCCUGUCUUUCCACAGUGCUCAAGUCAGGAAGGUAGAUGUUGGCUUUAUUUUCCAGAAAGGAUGGAAAGAACUCUUCAACCCUAAUUGGAUCAAUCAGGAAGCCAGCUUGUCCCUAUGUAACAGCAUAGCCCCACGGGCUACUGCAACCUUGGUUUACCAAGCCCCUAGAUGCUGGCCAAGUUCCCAGGCAUCCCAUCCCCUGGUACCAGAGAAGUGUGUGCGCUAAGAAACUGAGCUUAGGUGAGGCUCUCCCUAGCUUGUGGUCUCUAGCAUGCAGGUGUGGUUUAAGAUUUUUUCUCAGCGUUCAAAAUAUCACUGUCAUCUUGGAGGAUUAGCUAGAAUGGGGCUGUUUUUGAAAUGUACUCUAGGCAACUGUAGAGAGGGAUGGGCUGAGAUGAUCUCUAAAACCCACACUAGGGGACAGGGCAGGGGACACAUGGAGGGUGCAAGGCCAUCAGAAUCCACAAGGCAGAAACUAAAAACUUAUGGAAUAAAACAUUCUCCAGUAAUAAUA